GCAAUAUAGAAAAGUCCAACUGCACUAUUUCAAUGGCUAAUAUGUGAGCUAUAUCAGAUCAGCUCCUUGAAGCUAAAGUUCUUACUUUUAUCAUGAAUUUCAGAUGAUGGACCAUUAAAAAUAUUGGUGACUCCAUGUAGUGGAUUGACAAAAAAUUCAAGAAGCCCUUGCAAGAAAACUCUAAUGAACUUUCCUUUUCUAGCGCAAAUAACAAUCAACUUAUAAAUGAUGGUUCCAUUAAAUAUAAAGAGGGAGAUUUUAUAAAUUCAGUAGUGAGAUUUAAAGUAAAAGGGAGAAUCCCAUAUACUGCAGUGGCAUGAGUUGUUGAAAAGAGUUGCUAUCUAUGUCACAAGGUUAAGUCUAAGACAACAAUAUCCAUUAUUGACAUUUGAAUGAGCUGCAGCUUAUUAGCUUAUCCUCACAGAAGGCAUUAGCGAGUAAUGGAAUCAGAUUCAUAUGAUCU
rnacentral:misc_RNA from 1 species